AGCAUACCGGAAGGUGUGCUUGGAAU
rnacentral:rRNA from 1 species